rnacentral:tRNA from 1 species
GCGGGCGUGGCGAAAUUGGCAGACGCGCAGGAUUUAGGUUCCUGUCUCAGCGAUGAGGUGUCGGUUCAAGUCCGACCGCCCGCACCA